rnacentral:lncRNA from 1 species
GAAACUGCAGCAGCUCGCGGUGGGAGCACUCUCAGCAAUCAGGUGUUUUUCGUCUUUUAAUUUCCGAAAUGGAUGACAUCCCUCAGGCAUGUAUUCUGGAAAUGGAAUUCCUGUAACUUCCCGCUUUUGCAGUUUACCCUACAAUUAGUAGGCAGCGUGUAAAAACAGGCACAGUAAGCAGGUUAUAAAAGCAAAACAAAAGCACAGUGUUAAUGCUUGCAAGUUUCCAUUUGUUUUAAUACCACACAAUCUUUCACACUCGAGCGUGUGCACGCGCACACAGGGCUUACCCAACCUGCUCUGCUUGAGUCAUGCAGUUCAAAAAAAGGCAAAAAAAGGUAAAGACAUCAUUGGCAGAAGCUUCUGUGAGUUUAGUUCCACUAAGAUGUUUCACCUGCCUUAUCAAGACCAUUCUCAGUCUACUUUUUUAAGCUACCGUAUCUUAAAUUAUUGAAAAUUUAUUAAUUGCUGAUAUAUAAUAACCUUUGCUUGUAUGUAACCGAAAAUGGUUUAAGAGCCAACAUUUAGAGUAUGACAAUGGAGCUGAACAGUUUUUAAUGCGCAAGCAGUUCUGU